CCUACGGGAGGCUGCAGUGGGGAAUAUUGCACAAUGGGGGAAACCCUGAUGCAGCGAUGCCGCGUGAGCGAUGAAGUAUUUCGGUAUGUAAAGCUCUAUCAGCAGGGAAGAAGAUGACGGUACCUGACUAAGACGCCCCGGCUAACUACGUGCCAGCAGCCGAGGUAAUACGUAGGGGGCAAGCGUUAUCCGGAUUUACUGGGUGUAAAGGGAGCGUAGACGGGGAUGCAAGCCAGAUGUGAAAGCCCGGGGCUCAACCCCGGGACUGCAUUUGGAACUGUGUGGCUGGAGUGUCGGAGAGGCAGGAGGAAUGCCUAGUGUAGCGGUGAAAUGCUUAGAUAUUAGGAGGAACACCAGUGGCGAAGGCGGCCUGCUGGACGAUGACUGACGUUGAGGCUCGAAAGCGUGGGGAGCAAACAGGAUUAGAUACCCCAGUAGUC
rnacentral:rRNA from 1 species